rnacentral:rRNA from 1 species
UACGUAGGGAGCAAGCGUUGUCCGGAAUCAUUGGGCGUAAAGCGCGCGUAGGUGGCUUCGUAAGUCCGCUGUGAAAGUCAAAGGCUCAACCUUUGAAAGCCGGUGGAUACUGCGGGGCUAGAGUACGGAAGAGGCGAGUGGAAUUCCUGGUGUAGCGGUGGAAUGCGCAGAUAUCAGGAGGAACACCGGUGGUGUAAACGGCUUUCUGGACCAUAACUGACGCUGAGGCACGAAAGCGUGGGUAGCAAACAGG